GUUUAGUCUCUUGGGGAAUCUAGCCGGCUCACCGAUCGGGCGUCUAAGGGAUACUGGCAAUCUAUGGACCGGGAGAGGUGAGGGGUACUCCAGGGGGAAGGAGGGAAUUCCGGUAUCCUUCGGGGGACCACCUGUGGCGAAGGCGCCUCACUAGAACGGCUCCGACAGUGAGGGACGAAAGCUGGGGGAGCAAACCGGAUUAGAUACCCGGGUAGUCCCAGCUGUAAACUAUGCGCGUUAGGUGUAUCGGUGACCACGAGUCACCGAGGUGCCGAAGAGAAAUCGUGAAACGUGCCGCCUGGGAAGUACGGUCGCAAGGCUGAAACUUAAAGGAAUUGGCGGGGGAGCACCACAACAGGUGGAGCCUGCGGUUUAAUUGGACUCAACGCCAGGAAGCUCACCGGAUAAGACAGCUGAAUGAUUGUCGGGCUGAAGACUCUGCUUGACUAGCUGAGAGGAGGUGCAUGGCCGUCGUCAGUUCGUACUGUGAAGCAUCCUGUUAAGUCAGGCAACGAGCAAGACCCACGCCAACAGUUGCCAGCAUGGUCUCCGGACUGGUGGGGACACUGUUGGGACCGCCUCUGCUAAAGAGGAGGAAGGAAUGGGCAACGGUAGGUCAGCAUGCCCCGAAUUAUCCGGGCUACACGCGGGCUACAAUGGGCAGGACAAUGGGCAUCGACACCGAAAGGUGAAGGCAAUCUCCUAAACCUGUCCUUAGUUCGGAUUGUGGGCUGCAACUCGCCCACAUGAAGCUGGAAUCUGUAGUAAUCGCGUCUCAAAAUGGCGCGGUGAAUAUGUCCCUGCUCCUUGCAC
rnacentral:rRNA from 1 species